GUUUUAUAUCAAGCUAUAAAAACCUGGAUCCUGUUCAACAUACAUACAAAAGCAGUACUCUAAAAAAUAAUUAUUAUUAUAUUAACAAUAUCAAACACGCUAACUCCUACACACGUACAAAGACCUUGGGCAUCCUUUAUACCGGCCACUUCCUGGCCACAGCUUUGUAAGGCAGUACCUGGGAAAAGGGGACGGACCCAAGAGAGCCGGCCCCAAAUCCUGACUCAGCACUGCAGAGGCAUCAGCCGGGCUGAGUCAUGCCUGAGUCCGAAGGGCCCCCUCUCAGGCUGAGAAGGAACUUUCAGGCCCAGGGAGGAGCAGAGCCUUAGGGGGAGCACAUGCCGAGCAGGAAAACGAGCUCACAUUUUCCUGGGGUAGAGCGAGGUGACGGGAAAAAGAUUCAACUACCCACAGCUGGCUCUGAAGAUGGAGGAGCCUGAAGUCAAGAAUUACGGUCAGCCUCUAAAAAUGAAAAGGCCAGAAAUGAAUUCUCCCCUAGAGCCUCCAGAAGGAGUGCAGGACUGCCGACACCCAGAUUUGAGCCCCGGGUCAGCCUUCUGACCCGCAGAACUGGAAGACCUCGUUUUGAUCCACGAAGUUUGUGGAAACCUGUCACGGCAAUAGGAAACAAAUACAGAGGCCAAAGGGUCAACAGUGAGAGGUCAAGCUUGCCCUGCCCCUGCCCAGACCUCAGCCAGACUUCUGGGUGGCAGGGCCCACGGUGGCACCCCCAGGGCCUGUCCCUGCCUUGGGGAAGGGGGAGCCUGAGAGGACCCAGGAGGUCUUGGGCCCUUCGGUAGUAGACACCAAGCCCUCGGGGGACCACCCUCUAGUUGAGGCCUUGGGGGAUGAAGAGGGAGGGCUCAGGGCCCCAUUGCAGGGCCAGCCUGUAGGGGCCGUGGGGCCACCUGGAUGUGACGUCUAAUGCUGGCGGUGCUCACAGCUCGCCACAGGACCCUAAAAGCCCCUGCCAGACGAGAGCUCAUCUUUUCCUUCUUUCUCUUCCAGUUCUGUCUUCCAUUCCACCAUUGCUGAAUCCCGCUCACGGCGGCCCUGGGCUGCAGAGGGCAGAUGGGUGAGGCUCGGCCCCUGUCUCCAGAGAGCUGAAGAGGGCCCUCGGCCCCACCCACGAGGAGGACAGUCAUGAGGCCGACUGUGGAGGGGCUCUGGACAGAGGUGUCCGGGGAUCCCUGAGCCUGGCUGCACUCUCCCUCCUGGUUCUUUCCUUGCGUGCACACGAUCAGCUAUCGUUUACAAAGAGUCCUUGGUGUUGCCUGGUUGGCUGCCCAGGAUGGGAGCUCCUGCCCCCAUCGGACAUGUAAACAAACCAAGGUCUGUCCAGUUCCAGCUGACAGGGCCUGCACCUCCGCCAGGGCUAGGCAGAAGUAGCAUCAGAGCACAGGAGACCCGGGAGGAACCGAGAACCAGCGCUGCUCUUAACAGCUCCCAGCGGGGUGUGCCCAAGGCUUGCUGGGCACUCACAGGCA
rnacentral:lncRNA from 10 species